UACGUAGGGGGCAAGCGUUGUCCGGAAUUAUUGGGCGUAAAGCGCGCGCAGGCGGUCCUUUAAGUCUGAUGUGAAAGCCCACGGCUCAACCGUGGAGGGUCAUUGGAAACUGGGGGACUUGAGUGCAGAAGAGGAGAGUGGAAUUCCACGUGUAGCGGUGAAAUGCGUAGAGAUGGGGAGGAACACCAGUGGCGAAGGCGACUCUCUGGUCUGUAACUGACGCUGAGGCGCGAAAGCGUGGGGAGCAAACAGG
rnacentral:rRNA from 1 species